rnacentral:tRNA from 1 species
UCCCUGGUGGCUCAGAUGGUAAAGCAUCUGCCUACAAUGCGGGAGACCUGGGUUCUAUCCCUGGGUAGGGAA